GCGAGUGGCUCAGCGGUGGAGCACCACCUUGCCAAGGUGGGGGUCGCGGGUUCGAAUCCCGUCUUCCGCU
rnacentral:tRNA from 1 species